rnacentral:lncRNA from 1 species
UCACCGUGUCAGGCCCAUUUAACCCCGCAGCUAACUGGCGGAGCUUCGCCAGAUCCUGUUUCGGCGGGUGAUUUCUGAGCAGGUUCUGCCUGGUCCAGCGCUCGAGUGCUCGUUCGCGUCCUUUUCCUCAGUUCCCGUUUGUAUCGUUUCGGUCCAGCGCUUGGCCUAUUCCCGUGCUCGCGCUCUGCUUUAUCCACGCGUUGGGCCUCGCGCUAGAACCCAACGAUUGCAAGCCAUCUUCAGGCUUUUCCUUUUUUUCCCAUUUUUUUAUUUUGGAAAAGUGCUGUUGUUGGGCUUUAUUUUUUUCUUCCUAUGUUCCCUUUUGUCGAGCACAUGCGCGCUGCUCUCCCUCCUGUGCAGAGUCAAGUUGAGAGCCCAGCUCGUUCUUGGGCUUUUUGCCCUCUUCACUUUUCUGAUCUUGCAAUAUGUAGGCUCCUUUCCUCUCUUCCCCUUUUUUCAGCUUUUUUUAAGCUAAAAAAAACAUACAGAAAAAACUAGUAUGUUGGACUUUAUUUUUUCCCUUUUUGGGAGAGUGGUUUUUAGGGAGUAAAAUGGGUGGGGAAUAGCACUUUCAAUCACAUUUGCUAGACACUAUCAAUUGGGCGGAGCUAAUUGGCGGAACUUUGCCUAGUUGUGUUUCGGCGGACUAUUCCGACUAGGUGCCGUCUUCCACGCUGGCGCUUGUCCCGCGCAUAGCCUCUUCCGUCCCGUUCGUUCCUCAGUUCCUGUUUUGGCGGCGGCCCGCGCUCGCGCUGGGCCUCAUCCGCGCUGGGCUAUGGAAAAGUGUGGCUGCUUGACCACGUGCUGGAGCCCAAAGUCGUGCUAGAUCGUAAAAAGCUCAUCACGCAAUCUUGAAAAGCUCCUGAUGAGAUCAUUUCAAAUUCAUCAUGAACUUAGAAAAAUAAUUGAAGUCAUGUCUCAAGCAUUUUUGAAAACUAAAAGCACAUGAUGCGUUUGUUAAAAGCUCAUCGCUAGAAUGCUAAAAAGCUCAUUAUAAGAUCGUUAAAAGUUCAAGGAUUUUUGAAAAAGAAUGUACAAGACUUAU